AUAAUUGUUCAAUAAAGUCGUACUUUGAAGUUUUAAUACGGGACUGGAUUUAAUUUGUGUUAUAUCAGUUAAUAUCGAACAGUGACCGAGUGUAGCGAUUUUAAUUCUUGCGUGCACAUCAUCGGACCACCAGGAAGUUUCUCAUUAUAAGCCAACGUUGUUGAUUGCUCGUUGUAUGAAGCCGACCUAGAUACAUGUGGGAAAGAAGACGCACGCCGAUUCCAGAAAUUGGUUUGAAAAUAUGUCCAGAGGACCUUGAACCGGCAGUACAAGACUGAUGGAGCGAAGCCCAAAUGUCUCUGCAGCACUGCUCUGCUGAACUGGUGUGAGGAAUGGUUCCGGGACGUUCCGGUCGUGGAGGAAUCUGACUGCAUUGUGCCUUCUCGUGCUGGGUGCUCCUCGGUUGUCCAUCAUGUCCAUUCGACCGUCGCAAAAAAGAGGCCUCCUCUGAUCCUGCUGGGUCUCCUCUGCCUCCCUCUGCUGGCCUGCUGCGGUGUUCCCCCCCGGACUGGCUGGCUCUCAGGGUCCUCUGCCUCCCUCUGCUGGCCUGCUGCGGUGUUCCUCCAGGGCCGGCCGGCUGUUAGGAUCCUCUGCUGACCUGGCUUGGCGCUGCAGGCGAUGGUGUUGCUGGAUCUCCUGAGGCUGACUCCUGGCUUCCAGCUCCCCCUGGCAGGAUCCAGUCAGUGCAGUUCCCUGCAGCUAAUCUGGGAUCAGUGAGGUCCUCCUGGCCUCCUGAUUGGCACAAAUCCUCCCAGCAAGCUCUGGGGUACCUGGUACUCUCUCCUCACUCCAGCUGUAGUUUUCAGGCUGUUCCAGUGGGCUACAAGGUCGAGCCAGCCACGGUCAAGCCAUGUACUGAACCCGGGCCUUACAGCCCGUCCAGAAAAAAGGCCAAAAAAGAAAA